rnacentral:rRNA from 1 species
CUCUUCCUACGGGAGGCAGCAGUGAGGAAUAUUGGUCAAUGGGCUUACGCCUGAACCAGCCAAGUCGCGUGAGGGAAGACUGCCCUAUGGGUUGUAAACCUCUUUUGUCAGGGAGCAAUUGGCGCUACGUGUAGCGUUAUCGAGAGUACCUGAAGAAAAAGCAUCGGCUAACUCCGUGCCAGCAGCCGCGGUAAUACGGAGGAUGCGAGCGUUAUCCGGAUUUAUUGGGUUUAAAGGGUGCGUAGGCGGAAUGCCAAGUCAGCGGUAAAAUUUCGGGGCUCAACCCCGUCGUGCCGUUGAAACUG